rnacentral:rRNA from 1 species
GAUGAACGCUGGCGGCGUGCUUAACACAUGCAAGUCGAACGGUGAAGGCGGAGCUUGCUCUGCUGGAUCAGUGGCGAACGGGUGAGUAACACGUGAGCAAUCUGCCCCUGACUCUGGGAUAAGCGCUGGAAACGGCGUCUAAUACUGGAUACGAGCUGCGAAGGCAUCUUCAGCAGCUGGAAAGAACUUCGGUCAGGGAUGAGCUCGCGGCCUAUCAGCUUGUUGGUGAGGUAACGGCUCACCAAGGCGUCGACGGGUAGCCGGCCUGAGAGGGUGACCGGCCACACUGGGACUGAGACACGGCCCAGACUCCUACGGGAGGAAGCAGUGGGGAAUAUUGCACAAUGGGCGAAAGCCUGAUGCAGCAACGCCGCGUGAGGGACGACGGCCUUCGGGUUGUAAACCUCUUUUAGCGGGGAAGAAGCGAAAGUGACGGUACCUGCAGAAAAAGCGCCGGCUAACUACGUG